UGUAUUUAAAUUGCACAUAAGAUGCCAUUCAAGGCUGAAAGUAUUUACUUUUUCACAUUUUUUGCAAAAAAUUAUGAUGGUACCCCUUGUAAAAAUUUCAAAAUUCGGCAAAAAAAUUAUUUUUGUGAAGCCGCAAAAUAUUGAUGGAUAUCGUUAGUUGGGAUCAAAAGCUGCACAAAACUGUAGUUUUUAUGCCUGUAUGAUCAAUCAUCUUAUGAUGAAAACCCCUCCAAUAAAUACGAAGUUUUGGCUUAAUCCUUAUUUUUUACCCAAAAAUAAUCAGAUUUUUUAUCACAAAAAAUAGAAGAAAUCGUUUAAAUAUGGAAUGUCAUACCUCGUUGAACUCGCAAUCAAAUUUCCUAUCGAAUGGCAUUUAUGGUUUAAAAUGUCAAAUUUAUGACAUUUUUCGCAAAAAAUCAUGAUGUUACCCCUUACAAAAAAUUAAAAAAUUCGAAAAAAUUUUUUUUUUCCAAAUCAUUAGGAAAUUGAUAGGAACUUUUUAGCUGGAAUCAUUAGCUGCAAAAAGCAGUACUUUUUAUAUCUCUGUGAUGAUUUUUAGGCCAGCUUUGAUAAAAUCCCCCAAAACUACGUAUUAUGAAAAGUCCUGAUUUUCUGCUUAAAAUAAUCAUGUUUUUUUUUUUUGGUAAACAAGGAAAGGGAUGCCAUUGAUGGAAGUCUUGCGUUCAUUUGACCCAAAGAGUUUUCUGCAACAAAUUCCUUCGCCACCAGAAGAGAAUAAUAAAAUUAAAAUCGUAGAACAUGAACAUGUGCACAACAAUUGAAAUUUAUUUAAAAAUAAAUUAAAUUUUCCUUCCA